UACGGGGGGGGCAAGCGUUGUUCGGAAUUACUGGGCGUAAAGGGCGCGUAGGCGGUUCGAUAAGUCAGCUGUGAAAACCAUGGGCUUAACUCAUGGCCUGCAGUUGAGACUGUCGGGCUGGAGUGUGGGAGAGGAGAGUGGAAUUCCUGGUGUAGCGGUGAAAUGCGCAGAUAUCAGGAGGAACACCGAUUGCGAAGGCAGCUCGCUGGAACGUUACUGACGCUGAGACGCGAAAGCGUGGGGAGCAAACAGG
rnacentral:rRNA from 1 species